rnacentral:sRNA from 1 species
GGCUGGUAGUGAGUUAUCUCAAUCAUUUACAGUCAGUAACAGAUUGAACUCCUUGUUCUAUUCUUUCCCCCUUUCUCAAGAGUGCACUUAACUAGUCUAAA